CGCGAUAACGAACGAGACCUUGACCUGCUAAAUAGCCAGCCUGACUUUUGUUGGGCGCCGGCUUCUUAGAGGGACUUUUGGCUCAAGCCAAUGGAAGUACGAGGCAAUAACAGGCCUGUGAUGCCCUUAGAUGCUCUGGGCCGCACGCGCGCUACACUGACAGAGCCAGCGAGUACAUCACCUUGGCCGAAAGGCCUGGGUAAUCUUGUUAAACUCUGUCGUGCUGGGGAUAGAGCAUUGCAAUUAUUGCUCUUCAACGAGGAAUGCCUAGUAAGCGCGUGUCAUCAGCACGCGUUGAUUACGUCCCUGCCCUUUGUACACACCGCCCGUCGCUAAUACCGAUUGAAUGGAUCA
rnacentral:rRNA from 1 species